AGUUCAGGCCACCCUUAAAAAAUUGUUUGUUUGGCAUUGCCGACCCACACUAUCAGCAGGUGGGUAGGUAGGUAGGGAUUUUUUUUUUUUUUUUACAUUUAAAAGCUUUAUACAUGUAAAUCAUGAAGUCUCUAGACCAAUGUUGUCUAAAGCAUUGCAGCAUUGUUGUGUGUACAUGCUGGUGGUUUCUUUGAACGGGGUCAACCGUCAAUGUCACAUUCUACAUCAUAUGGAUAAUUUCAUGUAAGACAGUCAGUUUUGUUGGCAGAGUUAACCAAAGGACCCAGAAAAAAACACAGAACUGAGGCAGGAAACUGACAAAUUAACCAUAUAAAAUGUACAAUGUAUGACGUGAAAAUUGAACUUUUAUUGUGGGACUGCCAAUUGAACAGAGGCCUGAUGUCACAUCUUGUGGUCACAGUUUGGUAAAAUUACCAUAAGUUAAAUGGCUCAACCACUACGGCUCCUUGUACAAAUGGACAAAGAUUUAAAACUUUUAUUGUUUGCUUUGGUUUUAUAAACAUCACUUUCUACACCGUAUGUAAUUUCAUGGCAGUCAGUUUUGUUGGCAUACUAUUAAACCGUAGUACUUGAAGGAAAACGGCGGCAACCUGCGGGAAGAAACUGACUAACCUUAUCACAUAUGACAUGAAAAUCAAACCUUAAUUUUGCAACUGCCCAACUAGGGCUCAAACCAAUACCUAGAGGCUAGUAAUCAUACAUGAAAGGUGUGACGAACUACCAUACAAACACGCCUACUGCCCCUGAUAAGUUUUGAG
rnacentral:lncRNA from 1 species